UACGUAGGGUGCAAGCGUUGUCCGGAAUUAUUGGGCGUAAAGCGCUCGUAGGCGGUUUGUCGCGUCUGCUGUGAAAACUCAGGGCUUAACCCUGAGCCUGCAGUGGGUACGGGCAGACUAGAGUGUGGUAGGGGAGAUCGGAAUUCCUGGUGUAGCGGUGGAAUGCGCAGAUAUCAGGAGGAACACCGGUGGCGAAGGCGGAUCUCUGGGCCAUAACUGACGCUGAGGAGCGAAAGCAUGGGGAGCGAACAGG
rnacentral:rRNA from 1 species